rnacentral:rRNA from 1 species
ACGCUCGACACCUACGGGAGCAGCAGUAGGGAAUCUUCCACAAUGGGCGCAAGCCUGAUGGAGCAACACCGCGUGAGUGAAGAAGGGUUUCGGCUCGUAAAGCUCUGUUGUUGGAGAAGAACGUGCGUGAGAGUAACUGUUCACGCAGUGACGGUAUCCAACCAGAAAGUCACGGCUAACUACGUGCCAGUAGCCGCGGUAAUCUGAGCGGGCUGGCAAGGC